AUGAACGCUGGCGGCGUGCCUAAUACAUGCAAGUCGAGCGAACAGACGAGGAGCUUGCUCCUCUGACGUUAGCGGCGGACGGGUGAGUAACACGUGGAUAACCUACCUAUAAGACUGGGAUAACUUCGGGAAACCGGAGCUAAUACCGGAUAAUAUAUUGAACCGCAUGGUUCAAUAGUGAAAGACGGUUUUGCUGUCACUUAUAGAUGGAUCCGCGCCGCAUUAGCUAGUUGGUAAGGUAACGGCUUACCAAGGCGACGAUGCGUAGCCGACCUGAGAGGGUGAUCGGCCACACUGGAACUGAGACACGGUCCAGACUCCUACGGGAGGCAGCAGUAGGGAAUCUUCCGCAAUGGGCGAAAGCCUGACGGAGCAACGCCGCGUGAGUGAUGAAGGUCUUCAGAUCGUAAAACUCUGUUAUUAGGGAAGAACAAAUGUGUAAGUAACUAUGCACGUCUUGACGGUACCUAAUCAGAAAGCCACGGCUAACUACGUG
rnacentral:rRNA from 1 species